rnacentral:rRNA from 1 species
AGUAAAAAGUCGUAACAAGGUCUCCGUUGGUGAACCAGCGGAGGGAUCAUUACCGAGUUUACAACUCCCAAACCCCUGUGAACAUACCACUUGUUGCCUCGGCGGAUCAGCCCGCUCCCGGUAAAACGGGACGGCCCGCCAGAGGACCCCUAAACUCUGUUUCUAUAUGUAACUUCUGAGUAAAACCAUAAAUAAAUCAAAACUUUCAACAACGGAUCUCUUGGUUCUGGCAUCGAUGAAGAACGCAGCAAAAUGCGAUAAGUAAUGUGAAUUGCAGAAUUCAGUGAAUCAUCGAAUCUUUGAACGCACAUUGCGCCCGCCAGUAUUCUGGCGGGCAUGCCUGUUCGAGCGUCAUUUCAACCCUCAAGCCCUCGGGUUUGGUGUUGGGGAUCGGCGAGCCCUUGCGGCAAGCCGGCCCCGAAAUCUAGUGGCGGUCUCGCUGCAGCCUCCAUUGCGUAGUAGUAAAACCCUCGCAACUGGAACGCGGCGCGGCCAAGCCGUUAAACCCCCAACUUCUGAAUGUUGACCUCGGAUCAGGUAGGAAUACCCGCUGAACUUAAGCAUAUCAAUAAGCGGAGGAA